rnacentral:lncRNA from 10 species
GUGGCCUCAGCUCAGAGGCUAACAGGUCAUUCAUAGCCCCAGACUGCUAAGAACAAGGCACACAUACCAAUAUAUCAGUAGAUGUGGUAGCUGGUGUAUGUCAAUGCCUAUUCUGAUUGCUUCUGUUUUCUCAGUGAAAAAGGAAGCGGGAUUAUCAUCUGAAAGAGAACACAGGGCGGAUGCAUGGGAUAUUUUUUCUUUAUUUUUGUUUUUUAGGAGACAAUGUCUUGCUCUGUUGGUCAGGCUGGAGAGCAGUGGCCCAAUCAUUGCACUGCAGCCUCGAACUCCUCAGCUCAAGUGAUCCUCUUGCCCUCAGCCCCCCAAGUAGCUCGGACUACAGGAUUAUCAUAUCGUCAUUGCCUCUGGGAAGCACUGGAUAUUUCUGCCUCCAUCCCCUCCUCCCAUUCAUGCUUCUCAGUUUCUUUCCCCUGUUCCUUCAUUCCUGGGAAAGAAAUUACUGGAUUUCCC